GACGAACCACACAAACGUUAUUCGGAAUUACUGGGCUUAAAGGGUGCGUCGGCGGCGCGGAAAGUUGGGUGUGAAAUCCCUCGGCUCAACCGAGGAACUGCGCUCAAUACUACCGUGCUCGAGGGAGACAGAGGUGAGCGGAACUUAGGGUGGAGCGGUGAAAUGCGUUGAUAUCCUAAGGAACUCCGGUGGCGAAGGCGGCAUCCUGGACCAACACUGACGCUGAUGAGCGAAAGCUAGGGGAGCAAACGGG
rnacentral:rRNA from 1 species